GACGAACGCUGGCGGCGUGCUUAACACAUGCAAGUCGAACGGAAAGGCCCUGCUUUUGUGGGGUUCUCGAUUGGCGAACGGGUGAGUAUCACGUGAGUAUCCUCCCCUUGUCUUUGUGAUAACUUCAGGAAACUGGGGCUAUUAUCGGAUAGGAUCUCCUGCUCCAUGGUGGGGGUUGGAAAGUUUCGGCGGUUGUGUCUGGACUCGCUGCUUAUCAGCUUGUUGGUGGGGUUGUGGCUUACCAAGCCUUUGACGGGUAGCCGGCCUGAGAGGGUGACCGGCGACAUUGGGACUGAGAUACGGCCCAGACUGCUAAGGGAGGCAGAAGGGGGGAAUAUUGCACAAUGAGCGGAAGCCGGAUGAAGAAACGCUGCGGGCGGGAAGACGGACUUAGGGUUGUAAACCGCAUGCGCCUGUGACGAAGCGUGAGUGACGGUAAUGGGUAAAGAAGCACAGGCUAAAUAAGUG
rnacentral:rRNA from 1 species